rnacentral:rRNA from 1 species
GUCCACGCCCUAAACGAUGUCAAUUAGCUGUUGGGGGUUAGAAUCCUUGGUAGCGUAGCUAACGCGUGAAAUUGACCGCCUGGGGAGUACGGCCGCAAGGUUAAAACUCAAAGGAAUUGACGGGGGCCCGCACAAGCGGUGGAUGAUGUGGAUUAAUUCGAUGCAACGCGAAAAACCUUACCUGCUCUUGACAUGUACGGAACCCUGGAGAGAUUCAGGGGUGCCCGAAAGGGAGCCGUAACACAGGUGCUGCAUGGCUGUCGU